rnacentral:rRNA from 1 species
AACGAACGCUGGCGGCAUGCCUAAUACAUGCAAGUCGAACGAGAUCUUCGGAUCUAGUGGCGCACGGGUGCGUAACGCGUGGGAAUCUGCCCUUGGGUUCGGAAUAACGUCGGGAAACGGACGCUAAUACCGGAUGAUGACGAAAGUCCAAAGAUUUAUCGCCCAGGGAUGAGCCCGCGUAGGAUUAGCUAGUUGGUGGGGUAAAGGCUCACCAAGGCUACGAUCCUUAGCUGGCCUGAGAGGAUGAUCAGCCACACUGGGACUGAGACACGGCCCAGACUCCUACGGGAGGCAGCAGUAGGGAAUAUUGGACAAUGGGGGCAAGCCUGAUCCAGCAAUGCCGCGUGAGUGAUGAAGGCCUUAGGGUUGUAAAGCUCUUUUACCCGAGAUGAUAAUGACAGUAUCGGGAGAAUAAGCUCCGGCUAACUCCGUGCCAGCAGCCGCGGUAAUACGGAGGGAGCUAGCGUUGUUCGGAAUUACUGGGCGUAAAGCGCACGUAGGCGGCGAUUUAAGUCAGAGGUGAAAGCCCGGGGCUCAACCCCGGAACUGCCUUUGAGACUGGAUUGCUAGAAUCUUGGAGAGGCGGGUGGAAUUCCGAGUGUAGAGGUGAAAUUCGUAGAUAUUCGGAAGAACACCAGUGGCGAAGGCGGCCCGCUGGACAAGUAUUGACGCUGAGGUGCGAAAGCGUGGGGAGCAAACAGG